rnacentral:rRNA from 1 species
GAUGAACGCUAGCUACAGGCUUAACACAUGCAAGUCGAGGGGCAGCAUUUCAGUUUGCUUGCAAACUGGAGAUGGCGACCGGCGCACGGGUGAGUAACACGUAUCCAACCUGCCGAUAACUCGGGGAUAGCCUUUCGAAAGAAAGAUUAAUACCCGAUGGCAUAAUUAGACCGCAUGGUCUUAUUAUUAAAGAAUUUCGGUUAUCGAUGGGGAUGCGUUCCAUUAGGCAGUUGGUGAGGUAACGGCUCACCAAACCUUCGAUGGAUAGGGGUUCUGAGAGGAAGGUCCCCCACAUUGGAACUGAGACACGGUCCAAACUCCUACGGGAGGCAGCAGUGAGGAAUAUUGGUCAAUGGGCGCAGGCCUGAACCAGCCAAGUAGCGUGAAGGAUGACUGCCCUAUGGGUUGUAAACUUCUUUUAUAUGGGAAUAAAGUUUUCCACGUGUGGAAUUUUGUAUGUACCAUAUGAAUAAGGAUCGGCUAACUCCGUGCCAGCAGCCGCGGUAAUACGGAGGAUCCGAGCGUUAUCCGGAUUUAUUGGGUUUAAAGGGAGCGUAGGUGGACAGUUAAGUCAGUUGUGAACGUUUGCGGCUCAACCGUAAAAUUGCAGUUGAUACUGGCUGUCUUGAGUACAGUAGAGGUGGGCGGAAUUCGUGGUGUAGCGGUGAAAUGCUUAGAUAUCACGAAGAACUCCGAUUGCGAAGGCAGCUCACUGGACUGCAACUGACACUGAUGCUCGAAAGUGUGGGUAUCAAACAGGAUUAGAUACCCUGGUAGUCCACACAGUAAACGAUGAAUACUCGCUGUUUGCGAUAUACAGUAAGCGGCCAAGCGAAAGCAUUAAGUAUUCCACCUGGGGAGUACGCCGGCAACGGUGAAACUCAAAGGAAUUGACGGGGGCCCGCACAAGCGGAGGAACAUGUGGUUUAAUUCGAUGAUACGCGAGGAACCUUACCCGGGCUUAAAUUGCAUUUGAAUAUAUUGGAAACAGUAUAGCCGUAAGGCAAAUGUGAAGGUGCUGCAUGGUUGUCGUCAGCUCGUGCCGUGAGGUGUCGGCUUAAGUGCCAUAACGAGCGCAACCCUUAUCUUUAGUUACUAACAGGUCAUGCUGAGGACUCUAGAGAGACUGCCGUCGUAAGAUGUGAGGAAGGUGGGGAUGACGUCAAAUCAGCACGGCCCUUACGUCCGGGGCUACACACGUGUUACAAUGGGGGGUACAGAAGGCAGCUACCUGGUGACAGGAUGCUAAUCCCAAAAGCCUCUCUCAGUUCGGAUCGAAGUCUGCAACCCGACUUCGUGAAGCUGGAUUCGCUAGUAAUCGCGCAUCAGCCAUGGCGCGGUGAAUACGUUCCCGGGCCU